GUCACGAACUUUUAGACUGGUUAGGACGAUGGUCAGAGACUUAAUUUCCAUUUGACACUUAUUUUUGUGCAAUUUAUAGCAAUAUUUACCUCUUAUGAUGGAACAUAGGAAAAAUGGAUACCUUCGUAUUUUUAUUUUCCUUGUUAAAGGCAGUAGCUGUUACUGGCACAGUAAUGUGUCCUUAUUUAUCACUCUGGGAAGCCCGUUCUAAGAUGUUCUGUAAAGAAAAACCAACUUGGUAUCAUUGUCUAGAAAACCAGGCAGGAGAUUUGAGAGAAGCUUGUUUGGAACCAGUACCUAUUGGAAAGGGGUAUUAUCCAGUGUUAUCUUUGGACUUGGACUUUAUCAAACCUGUUAAAUGUCCACCAACACACUACCAGUCAAAGGGACAAAUGUCUAACUACUAUAAAAGUAUCACCUGUAUGUACCCUAAGUCACUGUGUGAUGAUGAUGGCGAAGAGAAAUGUGAUGAUGGAAGUAACAUCAAGGACCGAAUGUGUCGUUGUGACUACACAAAAGGAUACAGAUCUAAUGUAUAUUUAUUUUCAAACCCACUAAAUGCAUCUUGUUAUCAAUCCAAGUCAGAAGAGGUGGGAUGUGUCAUGUUUGCUUGCCCCGAGGGGCAAGAAUUAAAUCCAGCAUAUUACUGUGUGAAGAAAUGUUCAUAUGGCUACUAUCGAAAGAAACAUGGAUUUAACUGUGUGAAAAAUUUUUCCAUACCGUCAUCAACAGUCCAGUAUACUACAAAGUCAUCUGUAACUGCCAAAGAUCUCACUCAGAAACCUAAGAUCAAUGAUAUUCCUGAUGAUCUAAUGGUGACUUCAAAUGAAAACAGCUUUUUUAAGGCAGCAGCAAUAGGUUCACCUGUUCUUUCAGUGGUUAUUGUUGUGUUUAUUAUAUUUGUUAUCUUCCAAAGAAGAAAAAAAGGUUGGUGUUCAGAUUUACAUGGCAGUAGAAAUACAGUCCAAGAAACAGAGAUGGAAAGGAUUUCUUCCAAUGAGGAUCAUUCCAAAGAAGGAAAAAAAUACAUUGUAGUUGCAGAUACGUUCAUUGAAAACUUGAUUGUCCAUGAAGCUGAAAAUAUGAUGAUAGGCGAUAAUAACAGGAUAGUGAAAGGAUCUUCUUCAGAGUGUUCCCAUGAACAGUAGAGGGAAAUUUCAUCUUGUAGUACAUGUAAUAAUUUUUGUAUUAGCUCGCCUUAACGAAGUAGGGGGAGCUUAUGUGAUACCCUAGGCGUGUCGGCGUCCAAGGUUAAAGCUUUUGGAGCAGAUAUCUUAAAGUUUCAAGUAUUUCUAUGCCCUAUUUUGAUCAGAUGUGCAUUGACAAAGCUUUUGGUAACUAUGUUUCAAUGUACCAAUCCAGAUUUCAGACGCUGCAUUUGCAGCCAAAGAAUGGCCAGGUUAAUGUUUUUGGAGCAGGUUUGUUAUGUUUUGGGAGCAGGUAAAAGUUUUUGGAGCAGGUCUCAUUUCAAAGUAAGUAAAGGCCCAAUAUUGACCAAACUUGCAGGAAUGAUACACAGUGUACAUUUAAAAAAAUCCAUACUUUCAGACUUGCUUCGGAUGCUGGAUCUGACCUGCAUUUUCCGGAUGAGUGGCCAGGUCUAAGUUAUUUGAUCAGAUUCAUUAUAAAGUAACUAUAAGCUCUAUGUUGAGUAAACUUGCAAGGAUGAUACUUGUAAGGAUAAACACAAACAGACUUGCUUUGGAUGCUGGAUUGGACCUACUUUUUCAAGAUAAGCGACCAGGUUAAAGUUUUUUGGAGCAGGCUCAUUCUUAAGUAAAAAUUAUAAGUCCUAUAUUGACAAAACUCAUAUGGAUGAUCCAUCUAAGGAUGCACUCUACCAGACAUGAUUCAUAUGCUGGAUUUGACCAACACUUUCCAGAUGAGUGACCAUGUCAGAAUUUUUGGAACAGAUUCAUUUUUAAGUAAGUUUAAGCCCUGUGCUGUCCAACCUUGCAUUGAAGAUGCAUUUAUUGAUACAGGGUUUACCUACUAGACUUGCUUCAGAUGCUGGAUUUGACGUAGUCCUACAUUUUCUAGAUGAAUGACCAGGUUUAAAUUUUGGUACAGGUUCAUUCCAGUGUAACUUCAAGCCCUCUCUAGACCAAAUUAAUGCAUCAAGGGAUGGACGCUAUCAGACUUGCUUAAAAUGCUGGAUUUGAUCUAUUUUUUUCUGGAGGAAUGACCAAGUUAAAAGUUUGGAGCAGGCUCAUUCUAGUGUAACUUCAAGACCUAUCUAUGCCAGGCUUGCAUGGAUCUUGUAUCUAUGGAUGCACACUAACAGACUUGCUUCGGAAGCUUAUUUGACCUACAUUUUCUGGAUGAAUGAUCAUGUUUAAGCUUUUGCAGCAGGUUCAUUUUAGUGUAAAUUCAAGCCCUAUUGGACCAAGCUUUGAUGGAUUCCCAUGGUCACCAGUGGACUCAGGGCUCCUGACUUUGUGAAGAUGGAUAUAUAGUCAGUCGAAAUUCAAAUAUUUUUUGCAUAAUUAGCUUUAUCGCAUAAACGUAUUCCAAGAUGUGAAAAAUGACUUUAUUAUAACAGUACAGUUAUAGACAUAAAUGUACAUGAUCCAAGUUUGCUAUUGAGCUGUUUAUGGUUUUUUAUUGUUUCAUUUUUAUUGCAUCUUCAUGGCCGUAGGAACCGGGGGAGGGGCGUGCCCCCCCCCCCCCCCCCCAUAAUUUUGCCGAUAUAUAGAAUACUAUAGAAAACAUAGCUACUAUAUACUUGUGCCCACUCAAUAAUAAAUAAUGUCUGAUGACCUUUUUUUUUUUUGCUUGUCAAGGAAUUUUUGGUAGUUGACAGUGCCCCCCCCCCCCAACUGAAAAUCUGAAAAUGUAUGGUUGUGCCCCCCCCCCCCCCCCCCCCAAUUGAAAUUGCUUCCUACGGGCCUGGGCCUGUUUUACAAAAGAACUUAAGACUAAGACCAAAAUUUAAUUCUUCUAAUAACUUUCUAAUUUACAUUAAACAGAAAAUGGUUUUAAUCUUUUUAACAAGUAUGUAGAAUGAUACUUUUACGCUAGCAAUUGUAAUCAGAAUCAAUAAUUUUGCAAAAUUUUAUAAUCAACUUAAGUUUUUGGUCUUAGUCGUAAGUUCUUUUGUAAAACGGGCCCCUGAUCUUUUUCAGUAAGGUGUAUGUGUACUAAGACAUACAAUAUAUGUAAGCAAUCGAACUAUCGGCAUGUAUACCUGCCUUUGAAUACUUCUUAUGUAAAUGUAUUAUUUAUAUACUUAAGGUUGACUUUGUGAUAAGGAGAAACUGUGAUAAAAUAACGUGUUUCCUAGUUUACAUUUGGAGUAAAAAAAAUAACAACGAAAUAAAUAUCCGUAAUUUUCA